rnacentral:rRNA from 1 species
GAUGAACGCUGGCGGCGUGCCUAAUACAUGCAAGUCGAGCGAACGGACGAGAAGCUUGCUUCUCUGAUGUUAGCGGCGGACGGGUGAGUAACACGUGGAUAACCUACCUAUAAGACUGGGAUAACUUCGGGAAACCGGAGCUAAUACCGGAUAAUAUUUUGAACCGCAUGGUUCAAAAGUGAAAGACGGUCUUGCUGUCACUUAUAGAUGGAUCCGCGCUGCAUUAGCUAGUUGGUAAGGUAACGGCUUACCAAGGCAACGAUGCAUAGCUGACCUGAGAGGGUGAUCGGCCACACUGGAACUGAGACACGGUCCAGACUCCUACGGGAGGCAGCAGUAGGGAACAUUCGGCAAUGGGCGAAAGCCUGACGGAGCAACGCCGCGUGAGUGAUGAAGGUCUUCGGAUCGUAAAACUCUGUUAUUAGGGAAGAACAUAUGUGUAAGUAGCUGUGCAAAUCUUGAAGGUACCUAAUCAGAAAGCCACGGCUGACUACGUG